AGGGAAUUUUGCACAAUGGACGAAAGUCUGAUGCAGCAACGCCGCGUGAAGGAUGAAGGUUCUCGGAUUGUAAACUUCUGUUGAGUGGGAAGAAAAGCCAGCAAUGGUCUGACGGUACCACUUGAGUAAGCACCGGCUAACUACGUGCCAGCAGCCGCGGUAAUACGUAGGGUGCAAGCGUUGUUCGGAAUUACUGGGCGUAAAGGGAGUGUAGGCGGGAUCGUAAGUUAGAAGUUUCAUCUACUGGCUCAACCAGUAGUCGGCUUUUAAUACUGCGGUUCUUGAGUAUGGGAGAGGGUGAUGGAAUUCCAGGUGUAGCGGUGGAAUGCGUAGAUAUCUGGAAGAACACCAGUAGCGAAGGCGGUCGCCUGGCCCAAUACUGACGCUGAGGCUCGAAAGCUAGGGGAGCAAAC
rnacentral:rRNA from 1 species